rnacentral:tRNA from 1 species
UCCGAUAUGGUGUAGUGGCUAACAUCGUCGUCUCUCACACGACAGCCGGGGGUUCGAUUCCCCCUAUC